UGGGCAACCUGCCCUCAGCUCUGGGAUAACUCCAAGAAAUUGGGGCUAAUACCGGAUAUGACCGCUGACCGCAUGGUCUGGUGGUGGAAAGAUUCAUCGGCUGGGGAUGGGCCCGCGGCCUAUCAGCUUGUUGGUGGGGUAGUGGCCUACCAAGGCGACGACGGGUAGCCGGCCUGAGAGGGUGACCGGCCGCACUGGGACUGAGACACGGCCCAGACUCCUACGGGA
rnacentral:rRNA from 1 species